UACGGGGGGGGCAAGCGUUGUUCGGAAUUACUGGGCGUAAAGGGCUGGUAGGCGGCCAACUAAGUCGGAUGUGAAAUCCCCAGGCUUAACCUGGGAACUGCAUCCGAUACUGGUCGGCUUGAAUCCGGGAGAGGGAUGCAGAAUUCCAGGUGUAGCGGUGAAAUGCGUAGAUAUCUGGAGGAAUACCGGUGGCGAAGGCAGCAUCCUGGACCGGCAUUGACGCUGAACAGCGAAAGCUAGGGGAGCAAACGGG
rnacentral:rRNA from 1 species